ensembl:misc_RNA Metazoa_SRP Metazoan signal recognition particle RNA
GCUGGGCGUAGUGGCUCACGUCUGUAAUCCCAGCACUUUGGGAGGCCGAGAUGGGUGGAUCACCUGAGGUCAGGAGUUCGAGACCAGCCUGACCAACAUGGUGAAACCCCAUCUCUA